rnacentral:rRNA from 1 species
UACAGAGGGGGCAAGCGUUAUUCGGAAUUACUGGGCGUAAAGGGCGCGUAGGCGGCCUGCUAAGUCGAACGUGAAAUCCCCGGGCUCAACCCGGGAACUGCGUCCGAUACUGGUUGGCUUGAAUCCGGGAGAGGGAUGUGGAAUUCCAGGUGUAGCGGUGAAAUGCGUAGAUAUCUGGAGGAACACCGGUGGCGAAGGCGGCAUCCUGGACCGGUAUUGACGCUGAGGCGCGAAAGCCAGGGGAGCAAACGGG